UACGUAGGUGGCAAGCGUUAUCCGGAAUUAUUGGGCGUAAAGGGUGCGAAGUCGGCUGAUUAAGUUUGUGGUGAAAGUGCGGGGCUUAACUCCGUAUGGCCAUGAAAACUGGUUAGCUAGAGUGCAGAAGAGGGUAGUGGAAUUCCAUGUGUAGCGGUAAAAUGCGUAGAUAUAUGGAGGAACACCAGUGGCGAAGGCGGCUACCUGGUCUGUAACUGACGAUGAGGCACGAAAGCGUGGGGAGCAAAUAGGAUUAGAUACCCUAGUAGACCACGCUGUAAACGAUGAAUACUAAGUGUUGGGGAAACUCAGUGCUGCAGUUAACGCAAUAAGUAUUCCGCCUGGGGAGUAUGCACGCAAGUGUGAA
rnacentral:rRNA from 1 species